AUGCUUGAAUUUUUUGAAUAUUUAAAAAAUCAAUCAAUUAUGCACAUGCAAAUCUUGAGAUGACUAAUUUAAUACUUUAGUCACAGCUAUGCAUGGUGUCGACCAGGGGCCAGUAUCACAGAAUAGCGAUCAUAUAGAAGGCAGAUUUCUUGGCUUCACCUCUGAUUUUGGUGUAACCGUUGCAUACUGUUGCCAUGUUCCCAGCGUGCAUAUCAGAGGCAUUCGCCCCCAUGAAAAUAUUAAAAUAGGUUUGCAACCAGUUAAAAAAAGCUGCCAGUAUUUAUAGCAAACAACCUUUCCCCUUAUUUAUGAUGGUAGGAGACUAUUAGUUGCUUCUGAACAAAUGGUGGCUGUGAAAGAGACCAAUUUUGUUUUGAAUAUGAAAUGGUGGAUUUCAACACCACUUUGUAUCCAUUGACAACUUUUAACUACAUGUAUGUGUGAUUUCAUGACAUUCUGUGCAAUAAUGCCAAAGAAGGCAACAUGUAAACAAGCUUUACAGAUAAUUUCUUGCAAAAAAUUAACUUUAGGAACAAAAACAAUUGAAUUAGUGUUUUAACUAAUAGACAACCGACCAACUCUUAAGCCUGGUUUCCAUUAAAUCGUAAUUAUCGCAAGAACCGCAUCGCAAGCGUCGCAAUGAUUUUAAAAGCGCGGAAAUUUUAAUAAAAACUGCGGUUUAUCGGAAACUUGAGUCACACCGAUCACUAAGACUCUUACGACAAAGUCGCAAAGAUAGACUUAUUGCGAUUUUUGCGAUAGCGAUGUCUGCGUUCCGCGACUAUUGCGAUGAUUACGAUUUAAUGGAAACCAGGCUUUAGAGUAUGU